ACAGUAAAAUCUGAACAGACCGUGAAAUUUUCAUGGAGUCGGGUCACUUUUGUGACAGUGGAUUACACCCACGGGACAGU
rnacentral:ncRNA from 1 species